GUCUACGGCCAUACCAGCCUGAACGCGCCCCAUCUCGUCUGAUCUCGGAAGCUAAGCAGGGUCGGGCCUGGUUACUACUUGGAUGGGAGAUUUCAAAAAUAGGAAAUUUGUGUUCGUUUGUAUGCU
ensembl:rRNA 5S_rRNA 5S ribosomal RNA